rnacentral:rRNA from 1 species
ACCGCGGCGGCUGGCUUAACACAUGCAAGUCGCACGAGAACGCUCUGGCUUCGGCCGGGGCAAGUACAGUGGCGGACGGGUGCGUAUCGCGUAGAUAACCUGCCCACAGGCGCGGGAUAACCACGGGAAACCGUGGCUAAUACCGCACGUCGUCUGGACCCCGCAUGGGGACCAGAUGAAAGCCUUCGGGCGCCUUUGGAUGGGUCUACGUUGGAUUAGCUUGUUGGUGAGGCAACGGCUCACCAAGGCAACGAUCCAUAGCUGGUCUGAGAGGACGAUCAGCCACACUGGGACUGAGACACGGCCCAGACUCCUACGGGAGGCAGCAGUGGGGAAUCUUGCACAAUGGGGUCACCCCUGAUGCAGCCAUGCCGCGUGGAGGAAGACACCCCUAUGGGGCGUAAACUCCUUUUCUGAACGAAGAAACCCCUGUAGGUUCAGGGCGCGACGGUAGUUCAGGAAUAAGCACCGGCUAACUCCGUGCCAGCAGCCGCGGU